rnacentral:rRNA from 1 species
AUUGAACGCUGGCGGCAGGCCUAACACAUGCAAGUCGAGCGAGCGGCGGACGGGUGAGUAAUGUAUGGGGACUGCCCGCUAGCGGGGGAUAACUACUGGAAACGGUGGAUAAUACCGCAUACUGUCGGAUAACCCAUAUGGGAUUAGCUAGUAGGUAAGGUAAUGGCCUACCUAGGCGACGAUCCCUAGCUGGUCUGAGAGGAUGAUCCGCCACACUGGGACUGAGGCAGUGCCAAGGAUCCUACGGAGGCAUCAGUGGGGAAUGGGGCACAAUGGGCGCAAACCUGAUACAGCCAAGCCGCGUGUAUGAAGAAGGCGCUAGGGGUGUAAAGGAUGUACAGGCGGGAGGCGUUACCGACAGAAGAAGCACCGGCUAACUCCGUGCCAGCAGCCGCGGUAAUAC